rnacentral:misc_RNA from 1 species
GGAAGGAUCAUCAUUGAAUCUUAUGUUUUCCAGGUUUCUCACUUUUCCGAGCAUAUAACACAAAAGCGAGGGGAGGGGGGGGCCUGCACAAACAACUUUGACACACCCAAAAAGAGUCUUUUUUGUGAUUUGAUUUGGUUGGCUUUUUUUUUCUGGGUUGCUGUGGUUUUUUCAUGAUUGAUUGAUUGACUGCGGCGCCUGGGAUUGUAUAAAAGCUGGUCUCUUCAAAUGGGAAAAAGGAAAAAAGAAAAGAAUAUUUGCCUGAUAUAAAAACGUUUUGGUGUUGGGAAAUUGAAACAACUUUCAACAACGGAUCUCUUGGCUCUCACAUCGAUGAAGAACGUAGCAAAUUGUGAAAAUUAAUGUGAAUUGCAGAAUUCUGUGAAUCAUUGAGUUUUUGAACGCAUCUUGCACUCUUUGGCAUUCCAAGGAGUAUGUCUGUUUGAGUAUCGUGUUCUCAUAAAUCAAUCGAGGUUGUUUGUCCUUCCUUGAUUGGAGCUGAGCGUCUACCUUGGAUUGUAGGCGUGUGUGUGUGUGGGUGUGAGGGACAGAGACACAGCGUUCAUUCGCUGGUGGCUGGCCGCGCACUUGUAUAUAUAUAUAUCACGCACGCACGCUGUGUGUGCAAGGUUCGCUUGAAAUGGAGAGCAAGGCCUAGCUUUUUAAGGAGAAAUGGGAGAGAGCCCUGAUAAGUGUGUGUUCUCAUAAAACACACACAGGCUUGGUAGCUCAACACAAUGGCUGGUAGAAUCUCUAUUUCAGUCAGUUGUUGGCCAAGUUUCUUCAGAUCGCGCUUUCCCUCCCCUCUUUGCUUGAUCAAAAGCCUUGGGAAAAACUCACACCGGGAAGAGAUUUUAUCAAGAAAACGAAUCUCAAAUCAGACAAGACUACCCGCUGAAUUUAAGCAUAUAAAUAAGCGGAGGAAAAGAAACUAACAAGGAUUCCCUUAGUAACGGCGAGUGAAGCGGGAAAAGCUCAACUUUGAAAUCUACCAGGGGUGACAUCCCUGGUCGAAUUGUAGUUUCGAGAAAGAGUGGUUGAGGACAUGGCCAGUUGGGUACAAAUUCUUUGGAAUGAGAUAUCAUAGAGGGUGAGAAUCCCGUCCAUGAUCCUUCUGAGCUUGUCCAACAAAAACCCUCUUUUCCAAGAGUCGGGCUGUUUGGGAUUGCAGCCCAAAAUGGGUGGUAAAUUUCAUCUAAAGCUAAAUAUGGGUGAGAGACCGAUAGCGAACAAGUACAGUGAGGGAAAGAUGAAAAGUACUCUGAAGAGAGAGUGAAAAGUACGUGAAAUUGUUGAAAGGGAAACGCUUGAAACCAGUCGAGGUUGGAUGGCCAUCAGGAUGUUUUUCUUGGGGGCAUGGGCUGCAUCUUGGGAUUGAGGGGGGAGAGAAAUCUUUCCUCUUGACUCGGGGGUGGUUCAGGUUAGCCUUGGGAAAUGUCUGCAUUUGGCUGUUCAACAAGUCAACAUCAGUUUGAGACUUGGGAGAAAGGUGGCAAGAUUUGGUUGGGCUUUAGAUAGGACUUUGUGUGCCUUCUUUUGUCCAAGCUUGCUCAUCCAUAUGCCAAGAUAAUCAGACUGAGGAACGCAGUAGAGGGCAUCGUCCUGAUAGGAGAGUCCUGGGGUCGCGCGGUUAGAAACAGCCUAGCUGAUUCUAUCGUUCGAUUCCUCGACUUUUUUCCAAGUUCAGGCUGGCUUCUUACUUUGGGAUGUUGACGAAAUGGUUUUUAAACGACCCGUCUUGAAACACGGACCAAGGAGUCUAACAUGGAUGCAAGUAUUUGGGUGGUUUAAACCCAUUUGCGCAAUGAAAGUGAAUUUACCAAGAGGUAGGAUGCUGGCCACAUAUAUAUAUGUGGCUGGCAGCACUAUCGACCGAUCUUGACUAGCUUCGGCUUAAUAGAUUUGAGUAAGAGCAUGUAUGUUGGGACCCGAAAGAUGGUGAACUAUGCCUGAAUAGGGUGAAGUCAGACGAAAGUCUGAUGGAGGCUCGUAGCGAUUCUGACGUGCAAAUCGAUCGUCAAAUUUGGGUAUAGGGGCGAAAGACUAAUCGAACCAUCUAGUAGCUGGUUCCUGC